CUCAGAAGCUAGUAUCAGAUAGUCUCCCUGGAUUUUCAAGUUCACUCCCUGCUGGAUUUCAUGAUUGCUGUGAAGGAACUGGUCCACAUUCAAUACCAUGUUUAAUCUUUUAAACUUCACAGGAACCUUUUGUGGUCCAGUCAAAAAAACAAAUCCUCUUCAGAGCCUUCAAAAAAGGGAAUUGGAUGAAAGAAAUUGGUUACAAAAGUGAUGGAGAGUGGAGAAGGGAGCUUCCUUGUCUUCCCGGUAAAGUCCAUCUCUGCUCAAGUAGGCAAAACAUCCCAUCUUCAAGAUGUUCCAGCUCUUUGGAGUUAGCAGUCUUCCAACCCUGAGUCCACCUGAGCAGACAUCAACCCGUUCAGUGUCCCAAGCAACUCCACACCUGCCUGCCAUGAAAGGAGGAGUUCUCUUCCACCAUGCCCUUCUGCCAUGAUGUUUUGCCUCACCUCAGGCCCACAGCAGUGGAACCAGCUGACUACAGAAAGAAACUUCUCAAAGUAUGAAGCAAAAUAAAUCUUUCUCCCUUAAAUUGUCU
rnacentral:lncRNA from 1 species